ACUGUCGGUCCCUAUCUGCCGUGGGCGUUGGAGAGUUGAGAGGAUUCGUCCCUAGUACGAGAGGACCGGGACGAACGCACCUCUGGUGUAUCUGUUGUCCUGCCAAGGGCACCGCAGGUUAGCUACGUGCGGAUCGGAUAACCGCUGAAAGCAUCUAAGCGGGAAGCCGGCCUCAAGAUGAGCUCUCCCAUCCCCUCGAGGGAGUAAGACCCCUGGAAGAUCACCAGGUUGAUAGGCCGGAUCUGGAAGAGUGGUGACACUCGUAGGAGACCGGUACUAAUGGGUCGAGGGCUUGACGGA
rnacentral:rRNA from 1 species